rnacentral:rRNA from 1 species
GNNNNNGGCGGCNNCUUACCAUGCAGUCGAACGAUGAAGCCCAGCUUGCUGGGUGGAUUAGUGGCGAACGGGUGAGUAACACGUGAGUAACCUGCCCUUAACUCUGGGAUAAGCCUGGGAAACUGGGUCUAAUACCGGAUAGGAGCGUCCACCGCAUGGUGGGUGUUGGAAAGAUUUAUCGGUUUUGGAUGGACUCGCGGCCUAUCAGCUUGUUGGUGAGGUAAUGGCUCACCAAGGCGACGACGGGUAGCCGGCCUGAGAGGGUGACCGGCCACACUGGGACUGAGACACGGCCCAGACUCCUACGGGAGGCAGCAGUGGGGAAUAUUGCACAAUGGGCGAAAGCCUGAUGCAGCGACGCCGCGUGAGGGAUGACGGCCUUCGGGUUGUAAACCUCUUUCAGUAGGGAAGAAGCGAAAGUGACGGUACCUGCAGAAGAAGCACCGGCUAACUACGUGCCAGCAGCCGCGGUAAUACGUAGGGUGCGAGCGUUAUCCGGAAUUAUUGGGCGUAAAGAGCUCGUAGGCGGUUUGUCGCGUCUGUCGUGAAAGUCCGGGGCUUAACCCCGGAUCUGCGGUGGGUACGGGCAGACUAGAGUGCAGUAGGGGAGACUGGAAUUCCUGGUGUAGCGGUGGAAUGCGCAGAUAUUAGGAGGAACACCGAUGGCGAAGGCAGGUCUCUGGGCUGUAACUGAC